rnacentral:lncRNA from 1 species
AAAAAUGAUGGUGCCUUUCAACAUAUCUUUAUUAUCAUUCUUUAUAAUCAUUUUGUUUUUAUGUUUUGUUUUAUAUUUUACCCACAGAUGGGGAGUAUAAAUUUACUACUUGAUGUAUUGGGUUCCUGGGUACACAGUAGCUCUUUUAGUCACUGUAAUAUCAGCAAUGAUGAUGCUUGUAUCUGAAGAUGAACAAUCUUCAUGCAUUUUUCAAAUCAUCCGAAAGAGCUAUCAGAAGCCACACUUCCCAUCACACAGCCUGUUCAUCUGCAACACUGGCUUUUCAGUCACUGGCUAGGGGUGAUUUAGUCAACUUUUUCGUGCACACCUUCAACUUCUGGCCUGCAAAGCUUUCUGUAUGCUUUUAUGUAAUGUGAAUCCAGAUGGUGGAUUGUAUGUGGGUGCAAUAAAUGACUGAAUGUUUUAACAUGUUUCUUGGCUGGAAUUUAUAAUGGUGGAGUUUCUUUCCUAAGCUUCCAUGACUGCCACACUCUGCAAUUAUUUUCACCAGGUUACAUAGAUGUUCUGAUAGAAUCAGGGACCAAGGAAGCUAAAAUGGGUUUUCCUCUAAUCCUGAUCACGCUCUCUUUCCCUCUCCUUACCUAAUUUAUUUCUCUGCCACAGAAACUUGGAACUUUGCAGUACAGAGAAGAUUGAGGCAAACAGGGAGAAUAAAGGCACUGAAAGGAAGGGAAAGCCAGUAAAGGAAGUUGGAGAGAGAAUUGAAAAUUUGAAAGAGAAGAGGCAAAGGACUUGCUCUGUACCUGACCGCAUUACGAAACACCUGUUUGCCUGACCCGCCCCUCCUCAGGCUGUACCACCCAGGACACUAUGAAAAUGAAGUUGCCACUGACUGAAAGUCAGCAGUACUGCACCGGGUCCAGAUGAACGUAAACCAACAUGGAACCCCCAAGGCCAUGCUCUAGAGGGCCAACUCUGAACCUCCUUGAAACUCAGCUGGAGCAAAGCCUAUCAAGCGAGGGUGGCAGCAUCGUCAACAGGAAGCAUCGGGCAACCGGGCUCUCAUCUGGCUUCUGCUUGGUGAUCUUGGACAGAACGUGUAACUCUUUGUACCAUGAUUUCUUCUCUUGUAAACAUCUCACACUUUUAUGAUGAGGAAAUUACAAAAUGGAUUUGGAAGCAUCUUGAAAUAUCAAGAAAUGUCUAUAUUAUAAUUUACACAAAAGACCUAGCUUGGCUCAUAUAUAUCCAGACAUAUAUAAGGUAUAGAGGCAUAUAUAGUACAUAUAUACCCUACGUGUACAUAUGUAUAUACGUGUGUGUAUAGCUUAAUCCAUAUAUUUAUAUCUAUGUAAGAUAUAUAUACACACAUGUAAGAGAUAUUAUAAUUAUACACAUAAAGGAGGUGUUUAGGUGAAGACAAUUCUUUCUGAAAGUAUGACAGUUUAUAGUAAUUUCCCCACUUACAGAAUAAUAAUAGCUUACAGGCAGAAAUAAUAAAGAAUCCAGGACUCAUUUGAUAAUCUUUUACUUCCUAAAAUUCUUAUUUGGUGAAGAGAAGUUUAUAUCACUUAUUUUCCACGCACAUUUUAUAAAGAAGGAAUUCUAAUCUCUAGAUGCUGCUUUAACUAAAGCUAUCCUUAUCUAAUAAUAUACCUGAUUAAAUACUCUGCCAGAGUAUUUUUCUCUCAUCUCCUUUGUACCCUGAAUGGAAGCCUUGC